UACGGGGGGAGCGAGCGUUAUUCGGAAUCACUGGGCGUAAAGCGUGCGUAGGCGGCUUGACAAGUCAGAAGUGAAAGCCUGGGGCGCAACCCCAGAACUGCUUUUGAAACUGUCUCGCUAGAAUUCGGGAGAGGUUGGCGGAAUUCCCAGUGUAGAGGUGAAAUUCGUAGAUAUUGGGAGGAACACCAGUGGCGUAGGCGGCCAACUGGACCGACAUUGACGCUGAGGCACGAAAGCGUGGGGAGCAAACAGG
rnacentral:misc_RNA from 1 species